UAUGCAAGUCGACGAUGAACCGGUUUCGGCCGGGGAUUAGUGGCGAACGGGUGAGUAACACGUGGGCAAUCUGCCCUGCACUCUGGGACAAGCCCUGGAAACGGGGUCUAAUACCGGAUAUGACUGCCGACCGCAUGGUCUGGUGGUGGAAAGCUCCGGCGGUGCAGGAUGAGCCCGCGGCCUAUCAGCUUGUUGGUGGGGUGAUGGCCUACCAAGGCGACGACGGGUAGUAGGCCUGAGAGGGCGACCGGCCACACUGGGACUGAGACACGGCCCAGACUCCUACGGGAGGCAGCAGUGGGGAAUAUUGCACAAUGGGCGCAAGCCUGAUGCAGCGACGCCGCGUGAGGGAUGACGGCCUUAGGGUUGUAAACCUCUUUCAGCAGGGAAGAAGCGCGAGUGACGGUACCUGCAGAAGAAGCGCCGGCUAACUACGUGCCAGCAGCCGCGGUUUUACGUAGGGCGCAAGCGUUGUCCGGAAUUAUUGGGCGUAAAGAGCUCGUAGGCGGCUUGUCGCGUCGGAUGUGAAAGCCCGGGGCUUAACUCCGGGUCUGCAUUCGAUACGGGCAGGCUAGAGUUCGGUAGGGUAGAUCGGAAUUCCUGGUGUAGCGGUGAAAUGCGCAGAUAUCAGGAGGAACACCGGUGGCGAAAGGCGGAUCUCUGGGCCGAUACUGACGCUGAGGAGCGAAAGCGUGGGGAGCGAACAUGAUUAGAUACCCUGGUACGUCACGCCGUCAUCGUUGGGAACUAGGUGUGGGCGACAUUCCACGUUGUCCGUGCCGCAGCUAACGCAUUAAGUUCCCCGCCUGGGGAGUACGGCCGCAAGGCUAAAACUCAAAGGAAUUGACGGGUCAGCGCACAUGCGGCGGAGCAUGUGGCUUAAUUCGACGCAACGCGAAGAACCUUACCAAGGCU
rnacentral:rRNA from 1 species